UGUAUGUAGGAAAGACAUUCAUCUGUUUAUUACUGCUUUUAAAGUGGUCCAACUGUGAUAUCUUAAGUGUUUUAAUUGCAUAACAAUCCAGAUUAUAGAAUUCCUUGAUACAUUAUGAAUUUAAGAAGAAGAAAAUAAAUUGCUUAAAUGAUGGAGACCAAUCAAAUCAUUUGCUUAUGUAGGUUUGACAUACUUAUAAGUUACCAUCAAUUACAUAUCUAUACCAGUAAUUUUUCUGAGAGCUUUUUAACUUUGUUUAACGUCUCUGUAUUCUUUUAUAUCGUUGUGCUUUUUUUAUUUCCGUCCAGAAUAUUGUUUUUAUUUAGAUAUUUCUUUUUCUUAUUUUGAAAUUUAUACACAAGAAUAUGUACAAUCAUUCCAUGAAUAGUGACAAUGACCAGUAUCACAUAUCUUGAGGGUCCAAUGUUUGUUUUAUUUGACUCUUCUCCAUUCCAUUUUGGGGCAUGGAAGUACUCAGUUCUAGCUAGUACGUGUAUGUUUUAAUUGUGAAAUAUUUGAGAUAUUUGUUUUUAAAUAAUUUAUUUUUCCUGUUUCAAUGAUGAGCUCAGGUUGUGAAUGGUGGGAAAUUAUGAUAUUGCAAGUUAAUUACUUGAUUAUUUUGGUUUUGAUACAAGAAACUGUUUUAUACAUAUGUUUAUCUUGUUCUGUGAUCCAAUGUGCAAACUUGAUUUGACUUUUGUUGUUCUUGCUGUUAGAUUUCAGUCAAAUACUGUUGGUAUUGUAAUAAUUGCCCAUGUAUUGUGAUAUGAUCAUUACUUGAUUAACCUGUCUUAUUUUUGGUAUUUCUGCAAAGUCCCUACCCAAUUUAUGUACCAGAUACUCAGACUUUGUCUUAAUUAAUCUGUCAAUUGUUCUAAUUAAGAAUUCAUGUAUGUUUUGCACAGAUUCUGCAUUACUCAUCAGAAAAAUUAACCAAGACUUCCUGAGUUAUAAAUAUCAAUGUCAGGUUUCAAGAUUAGACCAUUGGCUUUAAGGCUGCAAAAGUUGCAGAUAUUAAUUUCAACUACCUGUAAACAAAGUUCCUUUAAGCAUGUUAUUUGGUAAAAGAGGGAGGGGUAAAUCUUAAAACUCAUUUUGAAAUAUGUGUUUGUAAUUCAAUGUAUGGUACAAGUAUAUGUAUGUGUUCACUAUGAAAAAAAAAACUUUUCUCUCUUUAAUUUAGACCCUCAAAGAAUCUAAAACUCAUUUGAUCAUUUUCACCAAUGCAUACAAAAUGUUAUCUGCUUUUUUCUAUGUGUGCCUUGAUGAUACAACUUCUUUUAAUAUUUAAUUAAAAGGUUGUAUUUUGAAAUACCUAUAUACAACAAAUUACUUUUCAUUUUCAAAAUUAUUCUAGUAUUUAAGCUACACCAUUUUAAAUUUUCAUAAAAUAACUAAUAAGGCACUGGUAAUUUUAUUGUUUUAGUUACUGGGACAUGUAUGUACUUGUUCUUUUUUUAGCACUUUUGUUUGAAAUUAUCACUUGUUAAUUACAUCAAUGGUACUGAAGAAGCUUAAAUUCUAAAUAAAAAAUAAAAA
rnacentral:sRNA from 1 species